rnacentral:rRNA from 1 species
UACGGAGGAUGCGAGCGUUAUCCGGAUUUAUUGGGUUUAAAGGGUGCGUAGGUUGUUUUUUAAGUCAGCGGUGAAAGUUUGUGGCUCAACCAUAAAAUUGCCGUUGAAACUGGAAGACUUGAGUGUGUUUGAGGUAGGCGGAAUGCGUGGUGUAGCGGUGAAAUGCGUAGAUAUAAGGAAGAACACCAGUGGCGAAGGCGGAUUACUGGACGAUAACUGACGGUGAGGCGCGAAAGCGUGGGGAGCAAACAGG